rnacentral:rRNA from 1 species
UGGGGAAUAUUGCACAAUGGGGAAAGCCCUGAUGCAGCGACGCCGCGUGAGCGAAGAAGUAUUUCGGUAUGUAAAGCUCUAUCAGCAGGGAAGAAAAUGACGGUACCUGACUAAGAAGCCCCGGCUAACUACGUGCCAGCAGCCGCGGUAAUACGUAGGGGCAAGCGUUAUCCGGAUUUACUGGGUGUAAAGGGAGCGCAGGCGGUCUUGCAAGUCUGAUGUGAAAGCCCGCGGCUCAACUGCGGGACUGCAUUGGAAACUGUGGGACUUGAGUGUCGGAGGGGCAAGUGGAAUUCCUAGUGUAGCGGUGAAAUGCGUAGAUAUUAGGAGGAACACCAGUGGCGAAGGCGGCUUGCUGGACGACAACUGACGCUGAGGCUCGAAAGCGUGGGGAGCAAACAGGAUUAGAUACC